CUUGGAAGAAUAUUUGAAUUUCUUCAUGGUUCAACUGUGGAGAUACCCAUUAUUACUCCAACAAACUGCCAACAGAUCAUUACAGUUCUACUUCAGAGCAUGAAGGAUGCUCCAAAUGUUGCUGAAAAAGCAUGUGGUGCUCUUUAUUUUCUUGCCCAAGGGUAUGGGGAUGUGGCUGCAUCAUCUCCCUUGACCCCUUUUUUCCAGGAAAUGGUGCAAUCGCUUCUCACAGCAACCCACAGAGAAGAUGCUGGUGAG
rnacentral:misc_RNA from 1 species